rnacentral:rRNA from 1 species
UGAGGAAUAUUGGGCAAUGCCCGAAAGGGUGACCCAGCAACGCCGCGUGGAGGAUGAAGGUCGUAAGAUUGUAAACUCCUGUUAGAGGGGAAGAAUAACUAAGUUUGGAGCUUAGUAUGACUGUACCCUCAGAGAAAGCCCCGGCUAACUACGUGCCAGCAGCCGCGGUAAUACGUAGGGGGCAAGCGUUGUCCGGAUUUACUGGGUGUAAAGGGCGCGCAGGCGGAAUGGAAAGUCAGUGGUGAAAUCCUACAGCUUAACUGUAGAACUGCCUUUGAUACUUUCAUUCUUGAGUUCGGGAUAGAGAGACGGAAUUCCAGGUGUAGUGCUGAAAUACGUAGAUAUCUGGAAGAACACCAGUUGCGAAGGCGGUCUCCUGGUCCGAUACUGACGCUGAGGCGCGAAAGCGUGGGGAGCAAACA